AGCCCAGCUGGGAAUGCCAGCUCAGCCUGUUUACAAGCAAAGUUGGCGGGCUGCGACCUUCCUUAUGGGAGCCAGAUCCCAGAUGGAAUUCACCGGAAGGAAGAAGACACCUUUCACCAGUCUUGACCUGUCCAAGAGUAACUUGCUUGGUGCUGGGGAUACACGACUCAUCACAUCCAACCCACCCCAACUCUGUGAGAAACAGCAUCUUUUCUACAAGCCGUCCACGCCUUCAGGCUCCUGCUUACCUUAGUUGGUGCCUCAGCUUCUUUUUCCUCCCAGGAGAUGGGAGAAGGGAGAACGGAAAAGAGAGAAGGCGGAAGGAAUUGGGUCUCCAGCUGGUUUGAGAAAAGGCUACAGCUCCUCUUUAUAAACACACUCCCUCCUCUCACAAAGGCGAAUGUUCUCCUUGUUCUUUCGUUGACUUUUUCUCCAUUUCCGGGCUUCCAUGGUUAUUUCUUUUCAUCUGAUCUUGCUUGUGUAGAAACGUUCUGAAGGUGUGUGUGAGUCAUGGGGGAGCAGGCACCAAGCUGUAAGCUCCUCAGAAUGGCACUGGGUGUCCCCUGCUGUCUUCCUGGCUCCCACGUGCCCCAGUGCAUAGUACAUGUUCAAUAAAUAUAUUUGGAUUCAUCUCCUGGCACCUAGCACAGUCCUUUGCAUACAGCAGGCUUUCAGUAAAUAUUUGUGGGAGCGACACAUUUGGUUGAAAUGCCUGACACAGUAGAAAGAAUCAUCGAGAGUGUCUCAGGAGCCACCCUGGAAACACAGUGCACAACUCUGGGACCAUCUGUCGGGCUUCUGGAAGACCCAGAAAAAAAAGCCAUCAAUUUUCCCGAAAUAGCACAAACAGGAUUUCCUGGAGGGAGCCGAGCCGGGAGCAGGCUGCAUUUUGGACGUGGACAACACAGCCUUGCUUGCAGUUUGGGGCUGGCUCAGCUGAGUUCUGCUGGCUCCUUGCACGCUCCCUGUCCUGUGGUGCUUCCGGUCACGCAGCAGUGACUUCUGAGUGGGGGGACGCAGGAAGAUUGAUGGACAGUUAAUCCACCUCAAAGACUUUAAUGUCAAUAUCGAUAAAAUUGUCCUUGACCGCAGGCGGCCCGAAGGAGACACAGGAUCUGCUUGCCUCUGGCUCAGUCCUCCUUCCUCUGCACGGCCCCACACGGAGGUCUGCUUGUCUCUACUGGGAACUCAACACAUUUGAGAGAGGCGUUAUGGUCAGACGGCCAGGGUUCAAAUCCCAGAUCCUCUAUUUACCAAAUGCGUGGCCAUUUGGGAGCUACCUUUCUGUGCCUCAGUUUCUUCACCUGUGUAAUGGACAUUAGAGUAGUGUCUGCCUCCUAGAGCUUUUGAAGGGAUGAAUGGAGCUAAUAAAAAUCAAGCACUUAGAUGGUACCUGGCACACUAUGUGUUUGCUAAGCGUCAGCCACGGUUUGUAGCCCCACUGUUCAUCUUCACCCUCCCUCAGUUACUCCACCCCCACAGCUCCGAUUCCAGCCACGUGUCCACCCUGAAGCCUGGGGGUCUGCUGACCACCCAUAUCUAGGAGGCCAGUGUACAAGAUUCCCCGGGGGAGGGGGCUGGAGUGGCAGGCUGCUGUAACAAAUUUCCUAGACUCCGUGGCUUCUAACAACAGAAUGUAUCCUCUCACAGUUCUGGAGGCCAGAAGUCCAAAGUCAAGGUGUCGGUUGUCAGGGCCAGGAUCCCUCUGAAGGCUCCAGGGGAGGGUCCCUCAUUGCCUCCUCCAGCUUCUAUUAUAGUGGGUCCCCUGGUGGUUGGCUUGUGGCUGCAUCCCUCCCACCUCUGCCUCUGUCUUCACGUGGCCUUCUCCUCUCUGUCUCCCUCUGUGUCUGCUCCUCUUCUUACAGACACUUGUCAUUCAAUUUAGGACCCAUUCAGAUAAUUCCAGAUCAUC